CACACUUGGAGUGUUUCUUUUCAUCGGCCAUUUUGUUCACCCUGCAGUGGCCAACAGAGGUGAAGGACUAUUGUAGUAAAGUCAGCUUGACAUCAUACUGGACGGACUCAACAACAACAACAACAACAACAACAACAACUAAAACAAAGGGUGAACUCACCAGGCAGCAGCAUCAGCAUCAGUGUGGCAGCCAGCAGGGCGGUGACGCCGGUCCUCCUCGCUCCAGCCAUGACUCGUCUCUUCUCCUGCCGAGACAAAGUUAAAGUGCUUUUAACGAGAACAGAAGCGACAAGUCUCACUGCGGAACCGGCUGGGGGAUUCUGAGUGACCCGGAUGACUGAUUGGUCCACCUGUGCUCAAAGUGUGUGUGCGUGUGGCUCGACUCGACUCCCUGAGACAAACUGCCGUGACGGACUGAGCGGUGCCAGGUUUUAAACAAGGCCCAUCAUCACUGACACACAACAGGAUAAGAUGUGCCCGUGGUGCGUUCAAGUGCAGCUAUACAGCAUGGGAGAGAGUAGAUAAACGUCAGCGAAGGUGCCAGAAGACUUAAAAAGCUAAUGAGGGGAGCCAAGAUGCCACAUAAGCACUUCUCGAAGGCCGCGGCCAG